GAUGAAGAACGUAGCAAAAUGCGAUACUUGGUGUGAAUUGCAGAAUCCCGUGAACCAUCGAGUUUUUGAACGCAAGUUGCGCCCGAAGCCUUUUGGCCGAGGGCACGUCUGCCUGGGCGUCACGCAUCGCGUCGCCCCCCACAAUUCUCCGUAAAGGGAACAUGUGUUUUGGGGGCGGAUAUUGGUCUCCCGUGCUCAUGGCGUGGUUGGCCGAAAUAGGAGUCCUUUCGAUGGACGCACGAGCUAGUGGUGGUCGUAAAAACCCUCGUCUUUUGUUUCGUGCUGUUGCUCGCAAGGUAAACUCUUUAAAAACCCCAAUGUGCCGUCUCUUGACGACGCUUCGACCGCGACCCCAGGUCAGGCGGGACUACCCGCUGAGUUUAAGCAUAUCAAUAAGCGGAGGA
rnacentral:misc_RNA from 1 species